rnacentral:lncRNA from 1 species
CACCAUAUUUAAUUGGGUUGAGAUGAGAGAAAAAUUGUUGGAGUGAUGACAGAGAAAAUGUUGAGAUGAGAGAGAAAAUAUCUAUGAUAACAAAGGGUUUUUGAUUUUUUUUUUCAAUUGGGGCAAUAGUAGGGAUGACAGAGAAAAUGUUGGAGUGAGAAAGAUGACAGAGAAAAUGUUGGAGUGAGAGAGAUGAAAGAGAAAAGGUUGAGAGGAAUGAGGGAGGUGAGUAAGGGUUUGGGGGUUUCUUUUUUUUUUUUUAGUUUUGAGAAUGAAAAUUAUUUAAAUAUCCUUGACCUUAAAACUUAGAAUCCAUGAUAAAUGAGGGUAUUUUUGUCUACUAUAAUCCGAUACACAUUGUUAAAACGUACCAACUGAAAAACAG